AGAGUUUGAUCCUGGCUCAGGAUGAACGCUAGCGGCAGGCUUAACACAUGCAAGUCGAGGGGCAGCGGGGAGGAAGCUUGCUUUCUCCGCCGGCGACCGGCGCACGGGUGAGUAACACGUAUGCAACCUGCCCCUGUCAGGGGGACAACCCGCCGAAAGGCGGGCUAAACCCGCGUACAUGCCACCGGGGCAUCCCGGAGGCAGGAAAGGCUUCGGCCGGACAGGGAUGGGCAUGCGGCGCAUUAGGCAGUAGGCGGGGUAACGGCCCACCUAACCGACGAUGCGUAGGGGUUCUGAGAGGAAGGUCCCCCACACUGGUACUGAGACACGGACCAGACUCCUACGGGAGGCAGCAGUGAGGAAUAUUGGUCAAUGGGCGCGAGCCUGAACCAGCCAAGUCGCGUGAGGGAAUAAGGUCCUAUGGAUUGUAAACCUCUUUUGUCGGGGAGCAAUGAGCGUCACGUGUGAUGCGUUGAGAGUACCCGAAGAAAAAGCAUCGGCUAACUCCGUGCCAGCAGCCGCGGUAAUACGGAGGAUGCGAGCGUUAUCCGGAUUUAUUGGGUUUAAAGGGUGCGCAGGCGGAGGUGCAAGUCAGCGGUCAAAUUGCGGGGCUCAACCCCCGUACUGCCGUUGAAACUGCAUCCCUUGAGUGCGCGAGAAGUAUGCGGAAUGCGUGGUGUAGCGGUGAAAUGCAUAGAUAUCACGCAGAACUCCGAUUGCGAAGGCAGCAUACCGGCGCGCAACUGACGCUCAUGCACGAAAGCGUGGGUAUCGAACAGGAUUAGAUACCCUGGUAGUCCACGCAGUAAACGAUGAACACUAACUGUUCGGCCAAAGUGAUGGCUGAGUGGUACAGCGAAAGCGUUAAGUGUUCCACCUGGGGAGUACGCCGGCAACGGUGAAACUCAAAGGAAUUGACGGGGGCCCGCACAAGCGGAGGAACAUGUGGUUUAAUUCGAUGAUACGCGAGGAACCUUACCCGGGCUCAAACGGGGAGUGACACAGGCAGAGACGCCUGUUUCCCACGGGACACUCCCCGAGGUGCUGCAUGGUUGUCGUCAGCUCGUGCCGUGAGGUGUCGGCUUAAGUGCCAUAACGAGCGCAACCCCCGCGUGCAGUUGCUAACAGAUAACGCUGAGGACUCUGCACGGACUGCCGGCGCAAGCCGCGAGGAAGGCGGGGAUGACGUCAAAUCAGCACGGCCCUUACGUCCGGGGCGACACACGUGUUACAAUGGGUGGUACAGCGGGAAGCCAGGCGGCGACGCCGAGCGGAACCCGAAAUCCACUCUCAGUUCGGAUCGGAGUCUGCAACCCGACUCCGUGAAGCUGGAUUCGCUAGUAGUCGCGCAUCAGCCAUGGCGCGGUGAAUACGUUCCCGGGCCUUGCACUCACCGCCCGUCA
rnacentral:rRNA from 1 species